rnacentral:rRNA from 1 species
GAUGAACGCUGGCGGCGUGCCUAAUACAUGCAAGUCGAGCGAACAGAUGAGGAGCUUGCUCCUCUGACGUUAGCGGCGGACGGGUGAGUAACACGUGGAUAACCUACCUAUAAGACUGGGAUAACUUCGGGAAACCGGAGCUAAUACCGGAUAAUAUAUUGAACCGCAUGGUUCAAUAGUGAAAGACGGUUUUGCUGUCACUUAUAGAUGGAUCCGCGCCGCAUUAGCUAGUUGGUAAGGUAACGGCUUACCAAGGCAAGGAUGCGUAGCCGACCUGAGAGGGUGAUCGGCCACACUGGAACUGAGACACGGUCCAGACUCCUACGGGAGGCAGCAGUAGGGAAUCUUCCGCAAUGGGCGAAAGCCUGACGGAGCAACGCCGCGUGAGUGAUGAAGGUCUUCGGAUCGUAAAACUCUGUUAUGAGGGAAGAACAAAUGUGUAAGUAACUAUGCACGUCUUGACGGUACCUAAUCAGAAAGCCACGGCUAACUACGUG